rnacentral:rRNA from 1 species
UAUAUUCUUUUCAAACUACCAUGUGCCUGAUUAUUAACAGCUAUAACCUUUAAAAUCAAAGAAUUUGGCGGUGAUUUAGUCUUAUUAGGGGAACCUGUUUUCUAAACGAUAAACCACGAAAUAUCUUACCUGCUGUUUGUAGUUUGUAUACCGUCAUUAAGAUAACUUCCAAAAAACAAGUUAUUGAAAGAAAGUAACUUUUAUCAUAUUAGAUCAAGGUGCAGCGGAUAGGCAGGCUAAAAUGGGUUACAAUAGUUUUUGGCUAACAACGGACAGCUUUAUGAAAUUGAAGCUUGAAGGAGGACUUAAAAGUAGAAUGAAUUUUAAUAAGAACUUUCGAAUCUAGCACUAAAUCAUG